rnacentral:rRNA from 1 species
AUUGAACGCUGGCGGCAGGCCUAACACAUGCAAGUCGAGCGAGCGGCGGACGGGUGAGUAAUGUAUGGGGAUCUGCCCGAUAGAGGGGGAUAACUACUGGAAACGGUGGCUAAUACCGCGUACCAUCGGAUGAGCCCAAGUGGGAUUAGGUAGUUGGUGGGGUAAAGGCUCACCAAGGCGACGAUCUCUAGCUGGUCUGAGAGGAUGACCAGCCACACUGGGACUGAGACACGGCCCAGACUCCUACGGGAGGCAGCAGUGGGGAAUAUUGCGCAAUGGGGGCAAGCCUGAUGCAGCCAUGCCGCGUGUAUGAAGAAGGCCUUAGGGUUGUAAAGUUCUUUCGGCAGCGAGGCGUUAACCACAGAAGAAGCACCGGCUAACUCCGUGCCAGCAGCCGCGGUAAUAC